AUCGGAAGAAGUGGCUAUGUGCUGUCAGGCGCGUCGUCUGGUCCCGGGAUCAAAACGCUUGUUCGUGCUCUGACCUGUCUACCUGAUGGAAGCUUUUGGGCUCGCAAAAGCAAACCACGGCAGGCGCCUGAAGGAAGGUGCAAUGCCAACGCUGUUGGUACCCACGAAACCCAGCCAGCCACCGUUCCGCGGUGGAGUGUACUCAGGCGAAGAUGAGCACAGCUCGCCCAAGAAGCACCCGAUGCUGCCGAGCAGGUUCAUUAUCCUGUGGACCGUAGAAAGUGUGACCCGAGCUGCCACGCUCCAACGAGCUUGGGGCACAGUGAACAGCCCCCUGUUUUAGUACUGCAGCACAACACAAUUCUGACUCUGGUGCCAAGACGCAGGUUGGUUGCAGCCAAGGGCUGCACAGACCUGUUUCAAGAACCUCGCUGUUGACACCAAGAUACAUAGCCAUCAGGUGUUCUGGUUGAAGAAGUCUCGAGGUGUUGCUACAAGUGCUCCGCUAACAACUACAUCCAUCAGAAAGUGCAGCUGUGAGCUGUUGUGCGAAGACGGCUUUCCCUGCUGGUGAAUGUUGGCUUCGUUUUGAGUGGAAGCAGCAUGAGUCCUCAUUUAGUGAGCAAACUAUGAAAAGGUACCCACAUGAUUCAAGGUUGUCAUCAACUCGAAUUAACGAAGCUUUCGUGGCACAGAACUCGAUCUAACAAAGUUCUUCCGGAAAUAAAUGAGCAAAAACGCAGCGGUUUCUCUCCGAUUUUCCUACAGACGGCUUUUCUACAAGCAUGCACUGUAACGCAAUCGCGUUAUAACAUCCAGCCACGCCAGUCACGACAGUAGUUUUAUUUUGAGGAGGCCGCACGCGGCAGUUGGUAGCGCUUUUACAUAUCAAAUGGCGCCGGGCAGGAGUGUUUUAUGGGCCCUGCAAAUACUCCCGCAGGAACAAGGUGGUUGCUUUCGUUAUUUAAUAGUUUAUGCGAUAUAGUUGGCACUGAUCGCCUCCUUGGAACUUUCUCACUCUGUCUGCUCGCACAUUAACUGCAUUCGUGCUCCCUGUCCUUAAAUGUUGGCAGCUUCUCCUAGCAUCACGUGAUCGUCUACCUCGCCUGCAUCACUCGGGUAUGGGAGGAAUUCAUGCUGCGGCUGCCCUCGAGGACUUUUCACACACGAAGACGUCUAUUAGUGGCAACGAAAAUACCGCAGUAGCUUUCGGCCAACGCUACGUUACAGUUUUAGACUUCGAAGAACCGAAAAAUUCUUUCCUCGAUUUUACGAACUGCCCGAUUUAACGAAACAAAUUGAGCGUUCUCAUGAA